CACCCCUGAAGACCCAUUCUGAGCCAGGAAAAAGCCUGCAUUGUAUGAUUUUCUUUUCUGUUUUAACCUCUAUUAAUGUUUCAUUUGUUGUUGUUGUUCUGGCUGCAGAGAGGAUGAUGCUGGUCAACAGUGAACACCUGAAUGACAACUUGUGAGCCGUCAAGCAGAAAUGAUGACAACACCUGCUCAAAGUUCCAGUUUCCUAUACUUUGUGCCAUGUCUGUAUGAGACUCCCACCUGUCUUCAGUCAUGUCUGGACCCAGUGGACUGUCUGGACGGCUGUUGUAUAAUUAAGAGAGGAUCAUGCAAGUUAACAGAUACCACCUGAUGGACAACAUGUGAUUCCAACUUGUGACAAUACACUUUGAAGUUCCAGUUUCCUGAACAUCAUGUCCGUGUGAAACCCAAUCCCAUGUAGACGCCCUCUUCGGUCAAGCUUGGACUCAUUACCCUUGAUCAACUGGGGUCAAGUGGCACAUUUUUAUCCUUCAUAUACUAUAUGGACACAUGUUGUUUUCCAGGGCCGGCCCUGGCCAAUUUGCUGCCCUAGGCAAGAUUUCACCUGAUGCCCCUGGAUUUUUGUUCAUAAACUUACACAGAACCAAACACAGGUUUGUCUUGUUUUUCUUUAAUUUGAAAAUAUUUUGGAAACACAAACACACAACGUAUUAUAGAUACAAUAUAAAUAUGUAUAUUUUAUAUUAUGUUAUGUUAAACCUUGCUUUCCUUUGCUUUCCUUGCCUUUCUUACAGCAUAUGUAACAUUCCAAAAAGACCAUUGCACAAAAAAUAAAUAACUAUACACAAACUUGAA